UACGUAGGGACCGAGCGUUGUCCGGAAUCAUUGGGCGUAAAGAGCGUGUAGGCGGCUUGUUAAGUCUUGCGUGAAAUCUCGGGGCUCAACCCCGAGCGGUCGUGAGAAACUGGCAGGCUAGAGUGCGGGAGAGGAGAGUGGAAUUCCUGGUGUAGCGGUGAAAUGCGUAGAUAUGCGGAGGAACACCGAUGGCGAAGGCAGAUCUCUGGGCCGUAACUGACGCUGAGGAGCGAAAGCGUGGGGAGCGAACAGG
rnacentral:rRNA from 1 species